rnacentral:rRNA from 1 species
GUAAAUCUACAGCUAAUACAUGCGUGAGCUUAUGUAAGCGCAAUUAUUAGUGAGUUGACUCUGGAUAAAUUUGCUGAUCACUAGCAGUGCUUGUGACGUAUCAAUUAGAUGUCCGCCCCAUCAAUUGCGAUGGUAAGGUAGUGGCUUACCAUGGUUGCAACGGGUAACGGGGAAUCAGGGUUCGAUUCCGGAGAGGGAGCAUGAGAAACGGCUGCCAGAUCUAUGGAUUGCAGCAGGUGCGAAAAUUAUCCACUUUUGGCAUAAAGAGAUAGUGAUGAUAAAUAACGGAUCUGGGCAUUUGUUCAGAGAUCGUAAUGAAAUAAUCGUAAAAGCUUUAUUGAAAGCAAUUGGAGGGCAAGUCUGGUGCCAGCAGCCGCGGCAAUUCCAGUUCCAAUAGUGUAUACUAAAGUUGCUGCAGUUGAAAAGCUCGUAGUUGGAUCUCGGCUUGCUAGCGCGCGAGGCGUGUGAGUAGGCCUUUGCUGUAGUUGAGUGCUACGGCUUUACCUUGAACAAAAUAGAGUGCUUAAGGCAAGCAUUCUGCUUGAAUAUCUCAGCAUGGAAUAAUAGAAAAAGACUUUUCUGUUGGUUUACCAGUAGUAAAAGUAAUGAUUAACAGAGACAGACGGGGGCAUUCGUAUCGCACCGCUAGAGGUGAAAUUCGUAGAUCGGUGCGGGACGAACUACAGCGAAAGCAUUUGCCAAGGAUGUUUUCAUUAAUCAAGAACGAAAGUUGGAGUAUCGAAGUCGAUUAGAUCUCGUCGUAGUUCCAACUAUAAACGAUGCCAACUAGCACUCCGCUAAUAAGUAUUAGUACGUUAGCGGGUUGCUUCCGGGAAACCAAAGUCUUUGGGCUCCGGGGGAAGUAUGGUUGCAAAGCUGAAACUUAAAGGAAUUGACGGAAGGGGCACCCACCAGGAGUGGAGCCUGCGGCUCAAUUUGACUCAACACAGAAAAACUCACCCGGGCCGAACACAGUAAGGAUUGGACAGACUGAUAGCUUUUUCUUGAUACUGUGGGUAGUGGUGCAUGGCCGUUGUUGGUUGGUGGAGUGAUCUGUCUGGUUAAUUCCGAUAACGAACGAGACUCAGGCCUACUUACUAGUUGUUCGAUUGCUGGUCGAUCAACUUCUUAGAGGGAUCAGUGUUUAAAACACUUGAAAAUGAGCAAUAACAGGUCUGUGAUUGCCCUUAGACGUUCGGGGCUGCACGCGCGCUACAAUGGAGAAAGCAGUGGGUGUCUUGCUUGGCAAAGCAAGCUGAGCCUUAAAAUUUCUUCGUGACAGGGAUCGAGGCUUGUAAUUAUUCCUCGUGCACAAGGACUAAU